rnacentral:rRNA from 1 species
GACGAACGCUGGCGGCGGGCCUAACACAUGCAAGUCGAACGGAAAGGCCGUGCUUGCGUGGGGUGCCCGAGUGGGGAAGGGGUGGGUAACACGUGAGUAUCCUGCCCUUGACUUUGGGAUAACUUCAGGAAACUGGGGCUAAUACCGGAUAGCAGCUCCUGCAGCAUGGAGGGGGUUGGAAAUUUUCGGCGGGUGGGGAUGGACGCGCGGCUUACCAGCUUGUUGGUGGGGGAGUGGCUUACCAAGGCAUUGACUGAUAGCCGGCAUGGGAGGGUGGCCGGCCACCUGAGUACUAAGGGACGGACCAGUGUGCUACAUGGGACAACGGUGGGAAGUCUUGCCCAGUGAGCCCGAGCCUGUUGCGGAGGCCCUGCGUUCGUGAUGACGGCCUUCGGGUUAUGAACCGCUUUAGGCUGUGACGAAGCGUUAGUGACGGUAAUGGGUGAAGAAGCACCGGCUAACUACGUG